CCUACGGGAGGCAGCAGUGGGGAAUAUUGCACAAUGGGGGAAACCCUGAUGCAGCGACGUCGCGUGAGUGAAGAAGUCUUUCGGUAUGUAAAGCUUUGUUAGCAGGGAAGAAAAUGACGGUACGUGACCAAGAAGCCCCGGCUAACUUCGUGACAGCCGACGCGGUAAUACGUAGGGGGCACGCGUUAUCCGGAUUUACUGGGUGUAAAGGGAGCGUAGACGGCAGGGAAGGUCUGCAGUGAACGGCGCGGGCUCAACCCACGGACUGCACUGGCAACUGGCAGGCUGGAGUGCAGGAGAGGCAAGUGGAAUUCCGAGGGUAGCGGGGAAAUGCGUAGAUAUGAGGAGGAACACCAGUUGCGAAGGCGGCUUACUGGAGUGUAACUGACGUUGAUGCUCGAAAGCGUGGGGAUCAAACAGGAUUAGAUACCCGUGUAGUC
rnacentral:rRNA from 1 species